rnacentral:rRNA from 1 species
UUUGAGAGAAGGGAUGACACAGUAGGAUAAGCUAAGCACACUGUUGGUUAUGUGUGCCCAAGCAUUGAGGCAGUCAAAGUAGGCAAAUCCGCUUUGAUAAUGCUGGGAUGUGAUGGGGAGCGAAAUUUAGUAGCGAAGUAGCUGAUUUCACACUGUCAAGAAAAGUCUCUAUCGAGGUUAAAGGUACCCGUACCGCAAACCGACACAGGUGGGUGAGGAGAGUAUCCUAAGGCCAGCGAGAGAACUGUUGUUAAGGAACUCGGCAAAAUGACCCCGUAACUUAGGGAUAAGGGGUGCCACCAUCAGGUGGCCGCAGAGAAUAGGCCCAAGCGACUGUUUACCAAAAACAUAGGUUUCUGCUAAGUCGCAAGACGAUGUAUAGGAGCUGACGCCUGCCCGGUGCUGGAAGGUUAAGGGGAUCUGUUAGAGCAAUCGAAGCAGUGAACUUAAGCCCCAGUAAACGGCGGCCGUAACUAUAACGGUCCUAAGGUAGCGAAAUUCCUUGUCGGGUAAGUUCCGACCCGCACGAAAGGCGUAACGAUUUGGGCACUGUCUCAACAACAGACUCGGUGAAAUUGUAAUUCCGGUGAAGAUGCCGGAUACCUGCGACAGGACGGAAAGACCCCAUGGAGCUUUACUGUAGCUUGACAUUGGGUCUUGGUACUACAUGUACAGGAUAGGUGGGAGGCUUUGAAACCAGGACGCCAGUUUUGGCGGAGCCAUCCUUGGGAUACCACCCUUGUAGUACUGGGACUCUAACCAUAGGCCAUGAAUCUGGUCUUGGGACACUGUCAGGUGGGCAGUUUGACUGGGGCGGUCGCCUCCCAAAAGGUAACGGAGGCGCUCAAAGGUUCUCUCAGUACGGUCGGAAAUCGUACGUAGAGUGUAAAGGCAAAAGAGAGCUUGAUUGCAAGACAUACAGGUCGAGCAAGGAUGAAAAUCGGACUUAGUGAUCCGGUGGUUCUGCGUGGAAGGGCCAUCGCUCAACGGAUAAAAGCUACCCUGGGGAUAACAGGCUUAUCUCCCCCAAGAGUCCACAUCGACGGGGAGGUUUGGCACCUCGAUGUCGGCUCAUCACAUCCUGGGGCUGUAGUAGGUCCCAAGGGUUGGGCUGUUCGCCCAUUAAAGUGGUACGCGAGCUGGGUUCAGAACGUCGUGAGACAGUUCGGUCCCUAUCCGUCGCAGGCGUAGGAAAUUUGAGAAGACCUGUCCUUAGUACGAGAGGACCGGGAUGGACG